rnacentral:misc_RNA from 1 species
GAUGAAGAACGUAGUGAAAUGCGAUAAGUAAUGUGAAUUGCAGAAUUCAGUGAAUCAUCGAAUCUUUGAACGCACAUUGCGCCCGCCAGUAUUCUGGCGGGCAUGCCUGUUCGAGCGUCAUUUCAACCAUCAAGCCCUGCUUGCGUUGGGGUCCUGCGGCUGCCCGCAGGCCCUGAAAACCAGUGGCGGGCUCACUAGUCACACCGAGCGCAGUAAUACAUCUCGCUUUGGGCGUGCGGCGGGUUCUUGCCGUUAAACACCCCCUUUUUACCAAGGUUGACCUCGGAUCAGGUAGGAAUACCCGCUGAACUUAAGCAUAUCAAUAAGCGGAGGA